UCAUUACCGAGUUAUCCAACUCCCAACCCCUGUGAAUCAUACCUUUAAUUGUUGCUUCGGCGGGACUUCGCGCCCGCCGGGGACCCGAACCUUCUGAAUUUUUUAAUAAGUAUCUUCUGAGUGGUUAAAAAAAUGAAUCAAAACUUUCAACAACGGAUCUCUUGGUUCUGGCAUCGAUGAAGAACGCAGCGAAAUGCGAUAAGUAAUGUGAAUUGCAGAAUUCAGUGAAUCAUCGAAUCUUUGAACGCACAUUGCGCCCGUCAGUAUUCUGGCGGGCAUGCCUGUUCGAGCGUCAUUACGCCCCUCAAGUCCCCUGUGGACUUGGUGUUGGGGAUCGGCGAGGCUGGUUUUCCAGCACAGCCGUCCCUUAAAUUAAUUGGCGGUCUCGCCGUGGCCCUCCUCUGCGCAGUAGUAAAACACUCGCAACAGGAGCCCGGCGCGGGUCCACUGCCGUAAAACCCCCCAACUUUUUUAUAGUUGACCCUCGGAAUCAGGUAGGACUA
rnacentral:rRNA from 1 species